AGUAGGCAUUACGGCACAAACAGACAGGCACAACCUCUGAAGGAGCACAACUCAACUGAAGACAGCAGGUCACCCUAAAAUCUGCCAUCUCAACAUAGCAGUUGGCAUUUCUGUAGAAGUCAGUCUUCUUAGAGCCACAGAUGAGGAAGAUGCUGAUCUUGCUGGCGUUCCUCCUGGCUCAGGUCAUCUGCACAACGUGUCCUGAAUCAAGAUGAUAAACCAAUGUCUGUUCGUCUGGGAGAGUGUUUAUAUCAGUGCUGUUGCAAGUUCAACCAGUAUUGGUGAUGGCAUGAGCUGGUACCUGCUGAAAUCUGGACAGGCUCCUAAGCUACUCAUCUAUAAAGUAAAAACUCUUCAGUCUGGAACACCAUCUAGAUUCAGUGGCAGUAGAUCAGGUACUGAGUACACUCUUACAAUCACUGGUGAAGAGCUGAAGAUACAUGAGAUUAUAGCACCCCAGAGCUCUUCACACAGUGAUUUUAGAGUCAUACAAAAACCUUGCGCAGUCAGACUGCACAGAGACUGUACUGCUGUCGUUCGCACCUACUGCGGGUGCCGAGGGGCAACAGUCUAUGACAUGGAAAACUGGUCCACUGAACACAGAAUUGAGAUCCUCACACAGCGUUUGACAGUAGGUCACACAACCACCUCCUCUACACAACCAUAACCAUUACUUCACCUCCAUAUAGAAACCACCACUUCACUACCACACCAUUGACCUUCCUCUGUCUGCUUUUUCUCUGUUUUUAUUUGAUUUGUAGCUAGCUCUCCAGGACCAAGGCUACAACUAAAGCCAGAACUGCCUGUAAAGAUGGUUGGGCUCCAUGUCAGUAGGUUAGAGUAAGGGAACUGGCUGGGGAGAAAAGCCCCAGGGAGAGAGGGAGAAACAGGGAUUAGUUAAAUAUGCAAUGCUCUGCUAGCCACCCCAACACACACAGUUCUGGCCUCUAUGGUUUCAGCAAAGUGAGUGCAUUUAUAGACUUUUGUCAGGUUCCCACAUUACUACACAAAACACACACCACACACACAGUCCCUGGGGCAGUCUGUCAGUUUAGUCAGACAUUACUCUCCCAGCAUGGACACGAGCCAUCCCAUUUAGACUCAUCUGAACGUUCACCAAAACACAUCCCGGAUGAUUUAACUUCCUGUAUACCAGUAAAUGUACUGAGCACAGGUCAACUCAACAUCUUGGUGCAGGGCUAUUCCACUGCAGCCUUGAUAUCCUUUCUCACUGGUAGUUACAUUGAUUGAUAAUAGAAUUGCCAGAUUCCUCCGACAGGGGGUAUUCCAUAAAGUAGGAUCAAUGAGUUCGCUAACUAAAUGAGUUUCCUAAAGAACUGAGUAAGGCAUGGUGUAACUGACUCCAGUUGUGGAAACGUGUGAACAACGGAGUACAGACGGUGCAUUACCUCUUCUAUGUAUCCAAGUUCCAGUUUGAUUUAUUCAAGAUAAUAAGAUGAGAAUAGAGAGACUGCACUACACAAAGACUUUCCAGUUCAGUGUACAUACAUUUUAACACAACUGCACUAUUUGUGUAAGUUUACAUGACAAAAAGUGACCCCAGAAGGACACAAUACAUUAUUUACCAUUCAUUUCUAUUGGGCACAAAAUAAUUUGUCGUGUCAAUAACAUGUCUCAACGUCAACUGUUCAGAGGAGACUGUGUGAGUCAGGCCUUCGUGGUCAAAUUGCUGCAAAGAAACCACUACUAAAGGACACCAAUAAGAGGAAGAGACUUGAUUGGGCCAAGAAACACACGCAAUGAACAUUAGACCGGUGGAAAUCUGUCUUUUGAGUCCAAAUUUGAGAUUUUGAUUCCAACCGUUGUGUGAGACGCAGAGUAGGUGAAUGGAUGAUCCCCGCAUGUGUAGUUCCCAGCGUGAAGCAUGGAGGAGGUGUUAUGGUGUGGGGUGCUUUGCUGGUGACACUGUCUGUGAUUUAUUUAGACUUAAAGGCACACUUAACCAGCAUGGCUACCACAGCAUUCUGCACCGAUACGCCAUCCCAUCUGGUUUGCACUUAGUGGGAUUAUUAUUUGUUUUUCAUCACACCUCCAGGCUGUGUAAGGGCUAUUUGAACAAGAAGGAGAGUGAUGGAGUGCUGCAUCAGAUGACCUGGCCUCCACAAUCACCCGAUCUCAUCCCAAUUGAGAUGGUUUGGGAUGAGUUGGACUGCAGAGUGAAGGAAAAGCAGCCAACAAGUGCUCAGCAUGUGUGGGAACUCCUUCAAGACUGUUGAAAAAGUAUUCCAGGUGAAGCUGGUUGAGAGAAUGCCAAGAGUGUGCAAAGCUGUCAUCCAGGCGAAGGGUGGCUACUUCAUCAAAUAUAAACACUUUUUUGGUGACUACAUGAUUCCAUAUGUGUUAUGUCAUAGUUUUGAUGUCUUCACUAUUAUUGUACAAUGUAGAAAAUAGUACAAAUAAAGCCUUGAAUGAGAAGGUGUGUCCAAACUUUUUACUGGUAAUGCACAUGUCAAAUCAUCUUCAUAUCAUGAUUCAUCUUC